rnacentral:rRNA from 1 species
CGUACACUCCUACGGGAGGCAGCAGUGGGGAAUAUUGGACAAUGGGCGCAAGCCUGAUCCAGCCAUGCCGCGUGAGUGAUGAAGGCCCUAGGGUUGUAAAGCUCUUUCACCGGAGAAGAUAAUGACGGUAUCCGGAGAAGAAGCCCCGGCUAACUUCGUGCCAGCAGCCGCGGUAAUACGAAGGGGGCUAGCGUUGUUCGGAAUUACUGGGCGUAAAGCGCACGUAGGCGGAUCGAUCAGUCAGGGGUGAAAUCCCAGGGCUCAACCCUGGAACUGCCUUUGAUACUGUCGAUCUGGAGUAUGGAAGAGGUGAGUGGAAUUCCGAGUGUAGAGGUGAAAUUCGUAGAUAUUCGGAGGAACACCAGUGGCGAAGGCGGCUCACUGGUCCAUUACUGACGCUGAGGUGCGAAAGCGUGGGGAGCAAACAGGAUUAGAUACCCGUGUAGUCCCAUGA